GUACGGGAGGCAGCAGUGGGGAAUUUUGGACAAUGGGGGAAACCCUGAUCCAGCCAUUCCGCGUGAGUGAAGAAGGCCUUCGGGUUGUAAAGCUCUUUCAGCAGGAACGAAACGGUAGGCUUUAAUAAAGUUUGCUAAUGACGGUACCUGAAGAAGAAGCACCGGCUAACUACGUGCCAGCAGCCGCGGUAAUACGUAGGGUGCGAGCGUUAAUCGGAAUUACUGGGCGUAAAGCGUGCGCAGGCGGUUUUGUAAGACAGAUGUGAAAUCCCCGGGCUUAACCUGGGAACUGCGUUUGUGACUGCAAGACUAGAGUGUGGCAGAGGGGGGUAGAAUUCCACGUGUAGCAGUGAAAUGCGUAGAGAUGUGGAGGAAUACCGAUGGCGAAGGCAGCCCCCUGGGUCAACACUGACGCUCAUGCACGAAAGCGUGGGGAGCAAACAGGAUUAGAUACCCUAGUA
rnacentral:rRNA from 1 species